rnacentral:rRNA from 1 species
CCUACGGGUGGCAGCAGUGGGGAAUAUUGCGCAAUGGGCGAAAGCCUGACGCAGCGACGCCGCGUGAGGGAUGAAGGUCUUCUGAUCGUAAACCUCUGUCAGCAGGGAAGAACGGUCACUGUGCUAAUCAGCAGUGAAUUGACGGUACCUGCAAAGGAAGCACCGGCUAACUCCGUGCCAGCAGCCGCGGUAAUACGGAGGGUGCGAGCGUUAAUCGGAUUUACUGGGCGUAAAGCGCUCGUAGGUGGUAUGUCAAGUCAAGGGUGAAAGCCCGGCGCUCAACGUGGGAACUGCCUUUGAAACUGGCAAACUGGAGUGUGUGAGAGGAUAGUGGAAUUCCAGGUGUAGGAGUGAAAUCCGUAGAUAUCUGGAAGAACAUCAGUGGCGAAGGCGACUAUCUGGAACGUAACUGACGCUGAGGAGCGAAAGCGUGGGUAGCAAACAGGAUUAGAUACCCGAGUAGUC